rnacentral:rRNA from 1 species
AUACGGAGGAUGCAAGCGUUAUCCGGAUUUAUUGGGUUUAAAGGGUGCGUAGGCGGAGAUGCAAGCGUGACGUCAAAUUUCGGGGCUCAACCCCGUCUCGCGUCGCGAACUGCGUCCCUUGGUUGCGGGAAGGGGAGGCGGAACUCGUGGUGUAGCGGUGAAAUGCAUAGAUAUCACGAAGAACUCCGAUCGCGAAGGCAGCCUUCCGGCCCGUCAACGACGCUCAUGCUCGAAGGUGCGGGUAUCAAACAGGAUUAGAUACCCUGGUAGUCCGCACAGUAAACGAUGGACACCCGCGGUUUGGCCUGUAUGGCUGAGCCGCCAAGCGAAAGCGUUAAGUGUCCCACCUGGGGAGUACGCCGGCAACGGUGAAACUCAAAGGAAUUGACGGGG